rnacentral:tRNA from 1 species
ACUCCAAAAUUCUAAGAUCUAAGAUUUCGACUCUUUUAUAGACAACAUUUAAUGCGUCC